rnacentral:rRNA from 1 species
CUGAAUCAGUGUGUGUGUUAGUGGAAGCGUCUGGAAAGGCGCGCGAUACAGGGUGACAGCCCCGUACACAAAAAUGCACAUACUGUGAGCUCGAUGAGUAGGGCGGGACACGUGGUAUCCUGUCUGAAUAUGGGGGGACCAUCCUCCAAGGCUAAAUACUCCUGACUGACCGAUAGUGAACCAGUACCGUGAGGGAAAGGCGAAAAGAACCCCGGCGAGGGGAGUGAAAAAGAACCUGAAACCGUGUACGUACAAGCAGUGGGAGC